rnacentral:rRNA from 1 species
UGAAUACGAGAUGCUACGGCGUCGAAGCAGUCUAUGUCAUACUUCCAAGAAAAGCUUGCACUGUCAUAAACAAAUAAUGCCUGUACCAUAACCGACACAGGUGGGUAGGUAGAGUAUACUAAGGGGCGCGAGAUAACUCUCUCUAAGGAACUCGGCAAAAUGACUCCGUAACUUCGGGAGAAGGAGUGCCUUAUUUAUAAGGUUGCAAUAACAAGAUCCAAGCAACUGUUUACCAAAAACACAGGUCUCCGCUAAGUCGUAAGACGAUGUAUGGGGGCUGACGCCUGCCCAGUGCCAGAAGGUUAAAGAAGUUGGUUAGCAUCCGCGAAGCUGAUAACUGUAGCCCUGGUGAACGGCGGCCGUAACGAUAACGGUCCUAAGGUAGCGAAAUUCCCUGUCGGGUAAGUUCCGACCCGCACGAAGGGCGUAAUGAUUUGGAUACUGUCUCGGAGAGGGGCUCGGUGAAAUAGACUUGUCUGUGAAGAUGCGGACUACCUGCACCAGGACAGAAAGACCCUAUGAAGCUUUACUGUAACCUGAAAUUGAAAUUGGACUUUACUUGCGCAGUAUAGGUGGGAGGCGUUGAGAAUAUUCUUGCGGGAUUAUUGGAGCCAUCAGUGAGAUACCACUCUUGUAAUGUUAGAUUUCUAACUUUGUAUCAUUAUCUGGUCAAAGAACAGUUUCAGGCGGGCAGUUUGACUGGGGCGGUCGCCCCCUAAACGGUAACGGAGGCGCACAAAGGUUUCCUCUGAACGGGUAGAAAUCGUAUCUAGAGUGUAAAGGCAUAAGGAAGCUUGACUGUGAGACCUACAAGUCGAGCAGGGACGAAAGUCGGUCUUAGUGAUCUGACGGUGCUGAGUGGAAAGGCCGUCACUCAACGGAUAAAAGUUACUCUAGGAUAACAGGCUGAUCUCCCCCAAGAGUUCACAUCGACGGGGAGGUUUGGCACCUCGAUGUCGGCUCAUCGCAUCCUGGGGCGGUAGUACGUCCCAAGGGUUGGGCUGUUCGCCCAUGAAAGCGGUACGCGAGCUGGGUUCAGAACGUCGUGAGACAGUUCGGUCCAUAUCCGGUGUAGGCGUUAGAAUAUUGAGAGGAGCCUUCUUUAGUACGAGAGGACCGAGAAGGACAUACCUCUGGUGUACCAGUUAUCGUGCCAACGGUAAACGCUGGGUAGCUAUGUGUGGAGUGGAUAACCGCUGAAAGCAUCUAAGUGGAAGCCCACCUCAAGAUAAG